rnacentral:rRNA from 1 species
GACUACCAGGGUAUCUAAGCCUGUUCGCUCCCCACGCUUUCGCGCCUCAGCGUCAGUUACAGUCCAGUCAGCCGCCUUCGCCACUGGUGUUCCUCCUAAUAUCUACGCAUUUCACCGCUACACUAGGAAUUCCACUGCCCUCUCCUGCACUCAAGUUAUCCAGUAUCAGAUGCAGUCUCUGGGUUGAGCCCACAGUUUUCACACCUGACUUAAUUAACCGCCUACGCGCCCUUUACGCCCAGUAAUUCCGGACAACGCUCGCCACCUACGUAUUACCGCGGCUGCUGGCACGUAGUUAGCCGUGGCUUCCUCCUAUGGUACCGUCACUUUCUUCUUCCCAUAAGACAGGGCUUUACAACCCGAAGGCCUUCUUCACCCACGCGGCGUUGCUCCGUCAGACUUUCGUCCAUUGCGGAAAAUUCCCCACUGCAGCCGCCCGUAGG